rnacentral:rRNA from 1 species
GACGAACGCUGGCGGCGUGCUUAACACAUGCAAGUCGAACGGAAAGGCCCUGCUUUUGUGGGGUGCUCGAGUGGCGAACGGGUGAGUAACACGUGAGUAACCUGCCCUUGACUUUGGGAUAACUUCAGGAAACUGGGGCUAAUACCGGAUAGGCGCUCCUGCUGCAUGGUGGGGGUUGGAAAGUUUCGGCGGUUGGGGAUGGACUCGCGGCUUAUCAGCUUGUUGGUGGGGUAGUGGCUUACCAAGGCUUUGACGGGUAGCCGGCCUGAGAGGGUGACCGGCCACAUUGGGACUGAGAUACGGCCCAGACUCCUACGGGAGGCAGCAGUGGGGAAUAUUGCACAAUGGGCGGAAGCCUGAUGCAGCAACGCCGCGUGCGGGAUGACGGCCUUCGGGUUGUAAACCGCUUUCGCCUGUGACGAAGCGUGAGUGACGGUAAUGGGUAAAGAAGCACCGGCUAACUACGUGCCAGCAGCCGCGGUGAUACGUAGGGUGCGAGCGUUGUCCGGAUUUAUUGGGCGUAAAGGGCUCGUAGGUGGUUGAUCGCGUCGGAAGUGUAAUCUUGGGGCUUAACCCUGAGCGUGCUUUCGAUACGGGUUGACUUGAGGAAGGUAGGGGAGAAUGGAAUUCCUGGUGGAGCGGUGGAAUGCGCAGAUAUCAGGAGGAACACCAGUGGCGAAGGCGGUUCUCUGGGCCUUUCCUGACGCUGAGGAGCGAAAGCGUGGGGAGCGAACAGGCUUAGAUACCCUGGUAGUCCACGCUGUAAACGGUGGGUACUAGGUGUGGGGUCCAUUCCACGGGUUCCGUGCCGUAGCUAACGCUUUAAGUACCCCGCCUGGGGAGUACGGCCGCAAGGCUAAAACUCAAAGGAAUUGACGGGGCCCCGCACAAGCGGCGGAGCAUGCGGAUUAAUUCGAUGCAACGCGUAGAACCUUACCUGGGUUUGACAUGGAUCGGGAGCGCUCAGAGAUGGGUGUGCCUCUUUUGGGGUCGGUUCACAGGUGGUGCAUGGCUGUCGUCAGCUCGUGUCGUGAGAUGUUGGGUUAAGUCCCGCAACGAGCGCAACCCUUGUUCACUGUUGCCAGCACGUUAUGGUGGGGACUCAGUGGAGACCGCCGGGGUCAACUCGGAGGAAGGUGGGGAUGGCGUCAAGUCAUCAUGCCCCUUAUGUCCAGGGCUUCACGCAUGCUACAAUGGCUGGUACAGAGAGUGGCGAGCCUGUGAGGGUGAGCGAAUCUCGGAAAGCCGGUCUCAGUUCGGAUUGGGGUCUGCAACUCGACCUCAUGAAGUCGGAGUCGCUAGUAAUCGCAGAUCAGCAACGCUGCGGUGAAUACGUUCCCGGG